rnacentral:rRNA from 1 species
UGGGGAAUCUUGCGCAAUGGGCGAAAGCCUGACGCAGCCAUGCCGCGUGAAUGAUGAAGGUCUUAGGAUUGUAAAAUUCUUUCACCGGGGACGAUAAUGACGGUACCCGGAGAAGAAGCCCCGGCUAACUUCGUGCCAGCAGCCGCGGUAAUACGAAGGGGGCUAGCGUUGCUCGGAAUUACUGGGCGUAAAGGGAGCGUAGGCGGACUGUUAAGUUAGAGGUGAAAGCCCAGGGCUCAACCUUGGAAUUGCCUUUGAUACUGGAAGUCUUGAGUACGGAAGAGGUAGGGGGAACUCCGAGUGUAGAGGUGAAAUUCGUAGAUAUUCGGAAGAACACCAGUGGCGAAGGCGACAUACUGGUCCGUUACUGACGCUGAGGCUCGAAAGCGUGGGGAGCAAACAGG